UCUUUUAUUUUUUUUUUUAAAGAGAGAGAGAGAGAGAGAGAAUUUUAAUAUUUAUUUUUUUUUAGUUUUCGGCGAACACAACAUCUUUGUUUGUAUGUGGUGCUGAGGAUCGAACCCGGGCCGCACGCAUGCCAGGCGAGCGCGCUACCGCUUGAGCCACAUCCCCAGCCCCUCAUUCCUGUUUAUUUUUUAGUUUAAGACAGAAUCUCACUAAGUUGUUCAGGCUGGUCUUCAAUUUGUAAUCCUCCUGCCUCAGCUUCCUGAGUCAUGGGGGAUUACAGGUGUGCACCACCACACCCAGUUGCAUUGUCUUAAUGUAAAUCUUCUUGUCUGGACACCUGCAAAGGCUCCUAACUGGUCUCUUGUCAGCCUUGCCACCUUCCACAGUGACAUUUGCUCACCUGCCACCUUCUCUGCUGGAGGGGGAGGGGUGGUUCUAAAAGCAACUCUGAUCCCAUCAGCCCCACUGGAAAACUUGCUCUACUGGAUUAUUCCUUAGCCUGCUGCUCUAGGCACCUACCCAUCAUAUUAGAAUUAUUUAUGUGUGUUAUACACAACAAACUACCCCCAAUUUAUUGCCUUAAAAUAACAGACAUCUAUUAUUUCAUAAUUUCUGUGCAUCAGGGAUUCAGGAAAGGUGGCAGUAUGAUGAGAUGCUAUUAUUAAGGUAGAGAUUUCUGGGCUGGAGAGUAGCUCAGUGGCAAAAUGCUUGCUGAGGCUGCAUGGGUUCAAUCCCUAGUAAAAUAAAUAGUUCCUGAAGCACCUAUUUACUUUGCAUGAAGUCUACUGUACACUUCAGCUGAGAGGGAAGAGGAAGAGAGAGAUUGAUUGAUACGUAGUGAUGCAACACAGCACUCCCGUCCUUCAUUCCAUAAGCAACUGGUGCCUGGUGGGAGUGUGUAAGGGAACACGCAUGAUAGCCCUUCCCUGGCCUCACAGCACACCAGCAUCUGAUCACACUCAAAGAUAAGUUUCUCUGGUCUGGUGGGGUUUAAAUGCCAACCAGGGUUUUCCUCUGCUGCUCAACUGAUGCAACAGAAGGAAAAGCUGGCUGGCUGGGAUGUCCUGAGAAGCCGGUCUGCUUGUUGAACUUCAUGGGUGCUGUAAAGGAUUUUCAAGGACAAUUUUCACUUUUUGUGAUUUCUGCCUCACAGGAGGUCUUGGAACCAAUGCCUGUGUGAAAUGAGACUCCUUUGAACCACUAACCCCAACCACUCUGCCCUUAAUCCUCUGCUUCCUGGGAGAAAUGUUUGCCAUCCCAACUGGGAAGGCUCAGUGUGGAAGUAGAAUUGGAAUUGCCCUAGAGAGGGUGGUAAGAGUAAGUGGUGUUGGUGAUGGCCUGACCGGCGCAAUUCAAAGGCCCCCUGGCUCUGUGCCACCCUGCAGUUGAAUGAAUACCAACUCUGUCUGAGAAGACAAGGUCCACUGAAUGAGUCAAUGGCACUGGCUGUGGGGGCAAGCCACCACCCUAAACCCAGUACAAAGAUUCAAAAGAAACAGGCAACAGAGUCCCUGUCUUGAAAAUUGUAUCCUGUGAGAAGUCCAGGUGGUAUGGAUGCCUUCUCUGUCCUAUUGCACUCCCCUCUCAGGGUAAAGAGGGUGAGGAGAAGGAAUAACUUGCCGGGAGGGGAUGCAUCUCUCCUUCUGCAGCUCUGAAGAGUUUUCGGCAGACAUAACAUCUUUGUAUGUGGUGCUGAGGAUCGAACCCGGGCCGCACGCAUGCCAGGCGAGCGCGCUACCGCUUGAGCCACAUCCCCAGCCCUAUGGCAGUCAUUAUUAAAAUUCAAAGAAAAAUUAAUUGUGACAUUUUAAAAUAA